ACGGGAGGCAGCAGUGGGGAAUGUUGCACAAUGGGGGAAACCCUGAUGCAGCGACGCCGCGUGAGUGAAGAAGUAUUUCGGUAUGUAAAGCUCUAUCAGCAGGAAAGAAAAUGACGGUACCUGACUAAGAAGCCCCGGCUAACUACGUGCCAGCAGCCGCGGUAAUACGUAGGGGGCAAGCGUUAUCCGGAUUUACUGGGUGUAAAGGGAGCGUAGACGGUAAAGCAAGUCUGAAGUGAAAGGCUGGGGCUCAACCCCAGGACUGCUUUGGAAACUGUUAAACUAGAGUGCAGGAGAGGUAAGUGGAAUUCCUAGUGUAGCGGUGAAAUGCAUAGAUAUUAGGAGGAACACCAGUGGCGAAGGCGGCUUACUGGACUGUAACUGACGUUGAGGCUCGAAAGCGUGGGGAGCAAACAGGAUUAGAUACCCUGGUA
rnacentral:rRNA from 1 species